rnacentral:lncRNA from 1 species
AGGCGAGCAAAAUUUAAAAUUUAUAUAUCAUUUUAAAAUUUUUGUUAAUAUUUUAUAUUCAUUACACUUCGAUCUAAUAUGAAUAUUUUUCCUAUUCAAUUUAUGUAAUAAUGAAAUAUAUGUUUCGAAAUUUAACAAGUUCAUCUAAUUAUAUAAUUAAACACAUAGAACAUAAAUAACAAAAUUUCAACAAAGAGAACACAAUAAAUAGGAGUAAGAAAGGGGAAAAAAUCACAUAAAUGUAAAGAAAAAGACGGGUCAUGGACUGUUCUUGAAACAUUGUCAGGUUGGGUAAGAAUCCGAUGAGCCCACAAUAAAGCCCACCCGAUUCACUACUUUUUUUUUUCAAUUUCGUUUCAUAUUCGAUAUUUAUAUUGAAAGUUACUAAUAUGAUUUGCGCCUCUACUAUAGUAAAAAAAAUAAUCCGUGUUGAGACCUCUAAUUAAGAUGAAAUCAACCUUAUCCAAUGUUUUGCACACGGAGUCUUAUGGUGGUAGAAUUUUGAAUAAUUUAUUUACUCGAAAUCUUAUUAUUUACGUAAUGAAUUGUAAAAUAUUAGUUCAAAUGAUCAAAUUUUGAAUUGUUUUUCGUGAUUUUAAAGUAAUUGCCAUCACUUUCUAAGAUUAAAAAAAAACAUUUUGAUUAAAAAAUUCAUAAUUAAAGCGCAAAAUAACUUUAAUGAUGAAAAUUCGAUAAGUGAAAAACUUCAAUAUGACAUAUUAAAGUUCAAAAUAUACUAGAUAUUUAUACUUCAUAUAUGAUCCAAUGACAUAUGGAAGUUUAAACUUUCAUCUAUUAUGUUUACUCUGUUUCAAUUACCUUAUUAAUUUACUAUUGUUUUUAGUAAAUCUUAUAUUAUUUGUUAUAUUUUCUUCUUGCUUGUAUCUAAAUUUAUUGUAGUUGAAUUGAGAAUUCUUUUAGAACAGCCUUUCAAUCGCAACGAGAUGUUAUGGGUCUCUCAAUAACAAUUUCUAUCUUCACGAGAUAAUAAAUUUUCUUACAUAUGUUAUAUUUUUUACAAUAUUCAUAAGUAAAAUUACGUAUAUUAUAUUCUUUUCAAACCUCACCGAUAAAAUUACGCUGAGAUAUGUACUCCAAAUAUCACCUAGAGUUAAGGUUUAUAAAUAUUUUAUGUAUUUACUUUGUGCUAUAUUUGGUACCUUAAAAUUUGGUAAGUGCACAAAAACCAAAGCAAAUAUUGCUUUAAGGCAGCGGCUACUCAGAGAAAAGGGCAAAUCCUUUUUAUAGAGUCAAAGAUAAGGAAGACUACAGUAGUACACACAGUUGCAGAGAAGACCGCCAUUGAAGCUCUUGAUAAAAACUCCAUAUAAGAAACAAUUAACUCUGGAAAAUUCCAAAAAAGAAGAAGAAAAGAGAAGGAAGUAUAUAGAAAGCUUCAUUUUUCACUUCAAAUACUUCCAUUUUUUCUCUUUUUUUUGUUAGUGUUUUGAACCUCAUUGGUGGGGUUACUGUGGAGUAAUCUCUGUUUAAAUUGUGGGGUUUGUUUAAAAGUUUCAGUUGGAGUUUGCAGCAUUAACGAAAUUCGAGAAACUGUAGAAAUUGAGCUUGGGGUUGUCUUGUUGAGUCUCAUUCUGGAAUUGGGUUAGCUGUGUUGUAUCAAAGUUGGGUUUGGUUUGUUUUUUCUGUGAAAUGGAUAAUCUGAUAGAGUGUAUUGAAGCAGGAGAAGCUAGAUCCGAGAAUUGCGGAGCUAGAAUGGGAGAAAUUAAAGAUGGGUUUCAUCAAUUUGGUGAGGAAAUUUUGUCUGUUACGUCGGAAGGUGGAAGUUCUUUCACUGCUUUACUUGGGCUUCCGCCGAAUCAAGCGGUGGAGCUUUUGGUUCAGUCACCGGAAACUGACAAAAUAGCAUCAGAUAAGCUUGCUAUCAGUGAACCUCACUAUCGUUAUCCUCCUCCUCCUCCGAUUUUUCCUUCAGAUAUCGCUUUGAUCGAUAGAGCUUCUAAGUUCUCCGUCUUCGCCGCCGCCGGUAACUCCCCGGAGUCCAAUUCAACCCUUUCGAAUUCCGGGUCGAAAUCACUGUUCGUCAAGCAAGAACCCCUAGAUUCCGAAUGUAACCACAACUCAUCUCCGGCGACUUCCAAUCCACUAGUCCAUCAGAAAUCAACAAAGAGAAAGGAACGCGAGAAAAAGGUAAUUUCAACACCCCAUGACGAAGCCAGAAUUUUCAUUUUCUCUGGUAGUAAAGUAAACACAUGAACUAGCCGAAGGCCUAAAGAAUAGUGUUAACUAUGUAUAAAUAGUAUAAUUUUCCGAUGAAUGAUACUAAUUUCAGUACAAUUUAUGUGAAAUUCAGGUAAAAGAAACUUCUAAAAAGGGGAAAAAAUCAGCUAACGAUACCUCAGAAGACGGCGGCGAGAAGCUACCAUAUGUUCACGUCCGAGCGCGUCGAGGCCAAGCCACUGAUAGCCAUAGUUUAGCAGAAAGAGUAAGAUUAAGAGCUUCUAAUGUUUUGCUAAACAUGGUAAUUAGUAAUUACAUAUAAUUAAGCUUUUAAUUAUCUUGAUUAUAUAUAUAUGUCUGUAGGCAAGGAGAGAGAAGAUUAAUGCUAGGAUGAAGCUACUACAAGAACUGGUCCCAGGAUGUAACAAGAUUUCAGGUACUGCAAUGGUGUUGGAUGAGAUCAUCAACCAUGUACAGUCCCUACAGCGCCAAGUGGAGGUCAGAUCUCGGAAAUCCUUGCAUCUGAUUUAUUAGUGCUAAAUCUACAGAAGACUAUUUUGAUUAUGAUAUUUUAGGUGUAAAUGAAAAUCUGAUGUAUCCAGAUUUCACUCCACUACAACAAUAUCUCUCAUCUCUAAAUAGUCACUUCUUCCAAAACUGAGAGCCCCCUAUGCAGGUUAAGUGCCUUGACCCGACACUCCUCAAUUCUUGCAGUAGUUUGCUUAAGCUAUAAACAAGAGAGAAGAAAACUUUUAUUAUCGACUACCUGAGGUAGGUGCAUGGUUAAUAUACAGCAGUUCUUUGAUUUUUCAUCAACUCUCUUAUUAGCAUACAGUCAUAAGGAAAAGGAGAACCGAUGAACUCAUAUCUGAGUAGCGACUCUGCCUGAUUGAGGAAACACAAUCAUAGUGAACUCAUAUCUGAGGAGCGACUCGGCCUGAUUGAGGAAACACAAUCAUAGUCUGAAUAUGUCAGUGUGCACUUAAACAUAUAUAGGAAGUCAAUAAAAAUUUCAGCGAUCUUGCUUAAUAAUCAAAAAUGAUAUUGGGGUGUGGGAGCCUGCAUGUAGUGGCUUAGCAUGUUCAGUCCUUACACAGACGAAUACAUUUGCACCUCCUGCAUCUUUUGACAUUAUUUUGAGAACGUAGGCAAAAGAUACAGACCAGUGGGAAUCCCACAUAUGAACCUUCAUGACCUUCUAGAAAGUAACUUUUCCUCUCUCACUUGGUAAUAUAGAUGCUUUAUUUGGUUUGCUUGAUCGUUUUCCUGAUUGAGAUCUGUUUUGGUUGUAGUUCUUAUCAAUGAGACUUGCUGCGGUUAACCCGAGAGUUGAUUUCAACCUCGAAAGUCUUUUUGCAGCAGAACGGAGUGGUUCCCAUGUGGAGAGUAACUUACAAGACAUGGUUGUGCCGCCUAUCUGGGCUGAGGGACAAAGCAGCGGAAACAGAAACCAAUAUCAACAUCUAUGGCUUAUUGAAGGGUUCCAUCAGCCUGCCUGGGGAAGGUUAGAAGACAAUUCUAGCUUUGUUACACCAGAGAACUCGCUGUUGACAUAUGAUUCCUCAGCAAAUUCAGGUAAAUCCCAACUUAAUGGCCUCCGUUUUGAUAAUUUCUCUAAACUUAAAACUUGAACAGAAUGAGUUUUGUAAAGAAAACUGAUAUGGAAUGCAGCACGAGUCAAAAUGAGCUUCAAAGCUAAUCGUUAUAUGAAAUUCUUUGCAGCAUCUUUACAUCCAAAUCAGCUGAAAAUGGAGCUAUGAAAGAAGAAGCAAUUCUUUUACUAGUGAUUAGCUGUAUAUAUAUCGGACAUAUUAGUUGGUAGCAGCUGGUGCGAGAGAAGAGAGUUAUCAAGAAUUGAGAUUUUGGGUUUCACCUUCUUCUAAUCAAACAGCAAGGAGGAACUCCAGUUUGAUCUCCGCUAGAGAGGGAGAAAAUUACGCGUAUCCCUUAUUUCUAUUUAUAUAUAACAUAUAUGUACGCAGAAAGAUCUGUCUAUACGAACAUAGGGUCAUUCACUCAAUCUGAUACUUGGUACGCCAGAUGAUUGAUUGAUUGAUUCGUAGUUGUAAAACAAGAACAAGAACAAACUAGUGGUGACUAUCACAUUGUUAAGCAGGCAAGGUUUCGUGCUAUUUGCCUCUUCUGCUGAAAUUCCUUGUGCUGUAAUUGUGAGAGAACUUGAGAAGCAAUAAAUAGAAGAAUAUUGGAAAGUUGAGAAGGCUUUACUAUCAGGGAGAGAGAGAGUUUCGAAUUGAUCCUUCUCUACUUAAAUAUCAAGUUUUUGUUUAUCGCAAUAUUUGAACUUGUGAUGAGUUGUGGCACUACAGUGGUGCUGCAAAUCUAUCACUUGCUACGCUCUUGCAACAAAACCAAAACACACCCGUGUCUGAUCCUCUAAAAAUGCUCAUCUUACGUCAAACCCGUGUAUCAUUUUCGAAAAAUCCAAGCAGUACCCCUAGCUGUAACUAAUGCCUCCAACUCAUAACAUCUAUAACAACAUAGCCUCUGAGUGAAUGAAUUGAUAAUAUAACAUAUGGUACCAGAUAACACAAGCAAGUUGACAAACGAUGAAUGAACAUGAAACCACUAAACAUGACAUUUUGUUUUUCCUUUUUUUUUUAAACGUUAUCAAUGGAUGGUUGAAAGAAAG